rnacentral:piRNA from 1 species
AGUGAAUGUAGUCAAAAAGUUCAGGGUGCAU